CAGUGAAAUAAAUCCCUUCCGGGAUUUGUGAAAUUUGCUUCGCAAGUGAAAUACGCCUGCGGCGUGUGAAAUGCCUG
rnacentral:sRNA from 1 species